GUACUGGUUUCGACGGGGACGUUGAAGUUUGGGAAGCCAUCCGCAGAGUCCGUAACUGCGUAAUAAUGCGGAACCUAAACAUAAAAGCAAACGACGAAAAGUUAGCUUUCGCAGCCUAAGCAGACUGUGUGUCGGACCGCGAGUUCUCACCGGCGCGGGAUCCGGCAUGGACAAGGUGAGACCCUCUGCAGCUUAAGCUUUGCGGCUGCAGAACAUUCAUGAAGCUACCGAUGGCAUGAGCCCGUUAUCAGGCAUAUGCCGGAGGGAAUCAAUAAUAUGAUAACUAUGAUGGUAGAAACCUGGAUGAAUAUAUCUUCGGACGCGGGUUCGACUCCCGCCUGGUCCAC
rnacentral:tmRNA from 1 species